UACGUAGGGGCAAGCGUUGUCCGGAUUUAUUGGGCGUAAAGAGCGUGUAGGCGGCUUACAGGUCCGUUGUGAAACUCGAGGCUCAACCUCGAGACGCCGGUGGAACCGUAAGCUAGAGUCCGGAAGAGGAGAGUGAAUUCCUGGUGUAGCGUGAAUGCGCAGAUAUCAGAGACACCGUGCGAAGCGCUCUCUGGACGUACUGACGCUGAGACGCGAAGCGUGGAGCAACAGAUUGAGA
rnacentral:rRNA from 1 species